rnacentral:rRNA from 1 species
ACUCAAAGGAAUAGACGGGGACCCGCACAAGCAGUGGAGCAUGUGGUUUAAUUCGAUGCAACGCGAAGAACCUUACCCAGGUUUGACAUGCAGGGGAUAGUUCCAGAGAUGGGAUCUUCCUUAGGGACCGCUGCACAGGUGCUGCAUGGCUGUCGUCAGCUCGUGCCGUGAGGUGUUGGGUUAAGUCCCGCAACGAGCGCAACCCUUAUCACUAAUUGCCAGCACGUUGAGGUGGGAACUUUAGUGAGACUGCCUGGGUGAACCAGGAGGAAGGUGAGGAUGACGUCAAGUCCGCAUGGCCCUUAUGUCUGGGGCUACACACGUGCUACAAUGGGCGAUACAGAAGGCAGCGAAGCCGUGAGGUGUAGCAAAUCCAAAAAGUCGCCCUCAGUUCAGAUUGUAGUCUGCAACUCGACUACAUGAAGAUGGAAUUGCUAGUAAUGGCGAGUCAGCAACAUCGCCGUGAAUACGUUCCCGGGUCUUGUACACACCGCCCGU